GCUAAGAUGGCCGAGUGGUUAAGGCGGAGCACUUAAGUUCUUAAGAUGCUGCAUAUGCUCUCUCUUUGAGAUCCUGGGUUCGAACCCCAGUCUUAGCA